rnacentral:rRNA from 1 species
AACGAACGCUGGCGGCGUGCCUAACACAUGCAAGUCGAACGGAUUUGAGGGGCUUGCUCCUCAAGUUAGUGGCGCACGGGUGAGUAACGCGUAGAUAAUCUGCCUGAUGAUCCGGGAUAACACUUCGAAAGGGGUGCUAAUACCGGAUAAGCCCACGGGGUCUUUGGACCUUGCGGGAAAAGGGGGGGACCUUCGGGCCUUCUGUCAUCAGAUGAGUCUGCGUACCAUUAGUUAGUUGGUAGGGUAAUGGCCUACCAAGGCUACGAUGGUUAGCUGGUUUGAGAGAAUGAUCAGCCACACUGGAACUGAGACACGGUCCAGACUCCUACGGGAGGCAGCAGUGGGGAAUUUUGCGCAAUGGGCGAAAGCCUGACGCAGCAACGCCGCGUGAGUGAUGAAGGCUUUCGGGUCGUAAAGCUCUGUCGAGGGGAAAGAAGUGUACGGGGGCUAAUAUCCUCUGUACUUGACGGUACCCCUAAAGGAAGCACCGGCUAACUCCGUGCCAGCCGCCGCCGUAA